CUCCUGUCUGGUGCCAGGCAUGGGUGCUGUGGCUCCUGCAGGCACUGCACCAGUGCUGUUGGUGCUAUUGAUCUCUUGUCUCCCAGCUGUUCCCUGGCUGUGCUGCAGUCUAAAUCCUUCUGGCAGGCUUCAAGCAAGCAUGAUAAAUCCCAGCAAAGGAAAACACAACCUCCAAAAGCAGAGUGUACCUACCUGUGGAGUGGGAAUCACUUUAUCAGUUAUCUUCUCCAGGCUGUCUACAUUCCAUCUGCAAGCAAAGGAGAGAGGGAAGCAUUUCUAAAAGCUGAUUCAUCCCAUCCUGACUGUUUAAUGUAGGAUAACCACAAAAAGGGGUGCAGAGCAAAUGAUGUUUCUGAUCAGCAACAGGUAACACUGCCAGCCAUUGGAUCCUGCUGAAUAUCCACACAGAGGAUCACCAGCAUCUUGGAAAUCUCAUGAUACUUCAAAGCACAGACUGGCAUCAUGUUGCAUGGUGCCUAAAGGGUUCAAAUGGUUUGGAAGUUAAAUCACUUCCAUGGUUUCUGUGAUUUGCAUGUGAAAUUGAUUUUAUUGGAUUUAUUUGAUCAGGAAGCACUAGUGUUUCCCCAAGGAGUACAAAUAAACCUGUUACUAGAAACUGA